UUGCAGGUUAAGUUACGGAGCAGCUUUGUGGUGUUGCCCUGUCGUUCCCCCUGCAUAAAACAAGCCUGACUCUUUACUAUCCCUGUCCGUCAGUAUCCCACGACUGCCAGGGACGCUUGGUUUCAGACAU